rnacentral:tRNA from 1 species
AGGUCUUUAGUGUAGUGGUAACACGCUAGACUCCAAAUCUAGAAACAAGAGUUCGAUUCUUUUAAGACCUGCCA